rnacentral:tRNA from 1 species
GGCUCUGUGGUGUAAUGGUAGCACAUUCACCUGGCAAGUGAGAGAUCCAGGUUCGAGUCCUGGCAGAGCAA